rnacentral:rRNA from 1 species
UACGUAGGUGGCAAGCGUUGUCCGGAAUUAUUGGGCGUAAAGCGCGCGCAGGCGGUUUCUUAAGUCUGAUGUGAAAGCCCACGGCUCAACCGUGGAGGGUCAUUGGAAACUGGGAAACUUGAGUGCAGAAGAGAAGAGCGGAAUUCCACGUGUAGCGGUGAAAUGCGUAGAGAUGUGGAGGAACACCAGUGGCGAAGGCGGCUUUCUGGUCUGUAACUGACGCUGAGGCGCGAAAGCGUGGGGAGCAAACAGG